rnacentral:rRNA from 1 species
UACGGGGGGGGCAAGCGUUGUUCGGAGUUACUGGGCGUAAAGAGUGCGUAGGCGGUUUUCUAAGUUUGGUGUGAAAUCUCCCGGCUUAACUGGGAGGGUGCGCCGAAAACUGGAAGGCUUGAAUCCGGGAGAGGGAUGCGGAAUUCCAGGUGUAGCGGUGAAAUGCGUAGAUAUCUGGAGGAACACCGGUGGCGAAGGCGGCAUCCUGGACCGGCAUUGACGCUGAGGCGCGAAAGCCAGGGGAGCAAACGGG